rnacentral:rRNA from 1 species
UACGAAGGGGGCUAGCGUUGUUCGGAUUUACUGGGCGUAAGGCGCACGUAGGCGGAUCUUUAAGUCAGAGGUGAAAUCCCAAGGCUCAACCUUGGAACUGCCUUUGAUACUGGGGAUCUCGAGUUCGGGAGAGGUGAGUGGAACUGCGAGUGUAGAGGUGAAAUUCGUAGAUAUUCGCAAGAACACCAGUGGCGAAGGCGGCUCACUGGCCCGAUACUGACGCUGAGGUGCGAAAGCGUGGGGAGCAAACAGG